GAUCAAUUGCAGGAUCCCAGAGCAAGGCCAGAACCCCGUAUGUAGAACUUCUCGCGAGCUCCCACGAGAUGUGGACGACAUAAAGGAAGUCCGGACGCCCUGGGAACCUCGCUGUGGUGAAUUCCCAUAUCCUUCGUUGUGUUUCUCAGACGCAGCGUGUACUUUUAUUUUUGCUUUUAUCUUCUUUUUCUCCUGUUCUGCCCACGUUCUCUCUGCAGAGUUAGUUUCUCCCAUAUCCAUUCAGCCAGCACUUUUCAAAUAAACUUUUUGGCCACAUUUUUGGCUUGUCUCAUCCAAUUCUUUGUUCCAGGCAAGAAGGACCUGGACUACUUUGGAUUGGCGAACCAUUGCUAAAGGAACUACCAGACAACAGAGGCACUGAACAGAUACUAUUUGCCAGAAAGAUUUCACCUCUUUGAGUACUGAAGACUUUCGUUUCAUAAGAUUAAAUUUAAUGCCAGAAUUCUUUACUGGAACUGGAGGAAAAAGAGAUGCACAUCAGGAAACAGCUGAUAAUGUGAAUCUGGAGUAUGAUCCAACAAGAGCAAGGGUUUGCCUUUAACCAAGUCAGAAAGGACCCAGUCUUUGUGGUGAGUCAGGGGCUGUUUCUAAAAUGUCCAGGUCAGGGUGUGGAUUCAGCCAGCCAAGGCAGUGGCACAGUUUCUAGAGAGAGACGGGGCUCGCUCUCUCCUCCUGGCCUGCAGGUAGGAAACUCAGAGGCAGGGAAGACUCCAGGAGGUCCUUCCAGCAGAGGUCAGCAGGCCCAGCAUCCAGGAGGCCAGGGGAUCAGGAGACACCCAAGACUGAGAAAAACCCACUAAAUGGAUGGAAUCUUUUUGUACGUCAGUAAAUGGUCUUCUGUCUGAACCUCACAAGACGAGCUUGGUCCUCCUGUCAUUGAGAACAAAUUCCAGGAGGAAGGAAAGCAGGGGGACCUUUUCUACAAGACUUUGUCUUUUAAAGAGAGAGGGUCUUUGCAAAAGACUUCAGUAUAUUUUAUGGGCCAGAUUGUGUCUUAUGCCCUCCCCUAUGUGCAAAGCUGCGUAGCUUAGUCUAGCUUCUGUUAAUAGCAGAACACCACUGACUCAGUUAAUUAUAUAAAAAAAGAGGCUUACUGUAACUCUGUUUUGGUCCAAGGUCAAGGGGUCCCUUUAAUGAUGCCUUUUAAAAAGAAUUCUGCUGGCAGAAUUUCAAGGCAAUGCAGAGUAUGAUGUGACAAGGGACAAGGUGAGCAUGUGUGUUCCCUGCUCUCUCUCUCUGCUCAUGCUGCAAAGCCACCAAUAUGUCACCAUGCUUUCCUGUCCUGAAAACCUUAUAUUACCCUAAUCCUUCCCCAAGGCCCUCCCUCUAAAUACCAUGACUAGAUUAUUUCCACCCUCUUAAUAUCUUACAAUGGGGAAUGCACUUCAACAACAGGGAGUGAACUGUAUUAAAUUCCACCCCAGUAGAAGUGGAGAUUCUCAUAGUAAAUAAAUGGAAAUGUAUGCUUAUGUAGGUAGUUUGUGUUCAAAAUUUAUUUCUAGGUUUUUGUUUCUCUAUGCUUUAUAAGAUGCUUGCCAUGCAGGAGUUUUGUCAUUUUUUUAUGAAGUCAACUUUAUCAGUCUUUUCUUUUAUGGCUUCGGUGUUUUAUUUCAUAUUUAGACUGAUCUUCCCAUUUUUUAAUUAAACUUUUUGGUUUGAGGCAGUUGUACACUCAGAUGUAGUUGUGAGAAAUUAUACAGAGCAAUCGCAUAUACUCUAUGAUACUCCCAGUGGGAGUAUCACAGUCAGGCAUUGACAUAGAUAUGGUCAGGGUGCAGACCCUUCCUCUACUCAGGGGUCCUGCAAACACACACACCCUCCCCUCUUCCCUCCAACCCCUUUCUAGCCCCUGGCAACCACAAGAUUGUUCUCCAUUUCUAAAAUAUGGUCAUUUCAAGAACAUUAUAUAAAUGGAAUCAUAUGCACACUUUAGGGAUUGGCUUUUUUCUCUCAACACAAUUCUCUAGCAUUCUAUCCAAGGUGUUGCAUGUUAUCGGCAGUUUGCUCCUUUUUAUUACUCAGUAGUAUAGUAGUAUUCCAUGGUAGGAAUGUAGCACAGUGUGUUUAAUCAUUCCUCCAUUGAAACAUAUGGAUUCUUUCCAGUUUUAGAAUAUGACAAAUGAAACUGCUCUAAAGAUUCAUGUGCAGGUUUUUAUGUUUUCAUUUCUCUAGGAUAAAUCCCCAAAAGUGCAAUUUAUGGUUUUAUGUGGUAAGUGCAUAUUUAAGUUUUUAGUAACUCUGGAAAACUGUUUUCCAGAGUAACUGUACCAUUUUAUAUUUCCACCAGGAAUGCAUGAAUGGUCCAGCUUCUCUGCAUCCAUUUGAUGUUGCUAUGAUUUUUUAUUUUAGCCAUUCUAUUAGAUGUUUAGUGGUAUCUCACUAUAGUUUUAAAAUUGCAUUUUAAGGGCUGGGGCUUUAACUCAGUGGUGCCACCACCUGCUUCACAAGUGCAAGGUCCCGAGUUCGAUCCCUGGUACCCCCCCCCAAAAAUUGCAUUUUAAUUGUCAAUGCAGUGAUGUUGGCUUUAUUUUGCUUGCUUACUUGAUAUCUUUGUAUCUUGUUUGGUAAAACAUUUAUUUCUAUCCUUUACUCAUUUUUAAAUUUGGCUUUGAAAAAAUAAUGUUGACAUGGAAGAGUUUUUUAUUUUAAAUACUAGUCCUUUGGUAUGUGGAUUGCAAAUCCUUUCACUCACUCUGUAGAUUGUACUUUUAUCCUCUAAAAAU
rnacentral:lncRNA from 1 species